UGGAGAUCUCUAUGUCCAGGGCCAGCUUGACAUUCAUGAGCUCCUGGUACUCUCUGAGCUGCCGAGCCAUGUCCUGCUUGGCCCUCUGCAGAGCCAGCUCCAGGUCCUUGAUGCGACUCUUGGCAUCCUGCACGGCCCCCUCACCACGCUGCUCCGCUUCCACGAUCUGGCCUUCAAGGCUCUCACGCUUAAAAUAAUGCAUAGCCUGGAUCUCGUUCUGCAGGCGGCUGAUCAUUCUUUUGAGCUCAGAUAUUUCCCCCUUGGUGCUGCGCAGCUCAUUUCCAUACUGGUCGGCUUGUGCAGACAUCUGGUCAAACUGGUGUCGGCAGAGAUCAGACAGAGGAACAAACACUUUUCAGCCUCUUCACGACUGCGGGCAGCAAUUUCUUCAUACUGAGCCUUCACAUCAGCCACGACCUGAUCCAUGUUCAGGCCACGAGC